rnacentral:rRNA from 1 species
UACGUAGGGUGCGAGCGUUGCCCGGAUUUACUGGGCGUAAAGGGCUCGUAGGCGGCCAACUAAGUCAGACGUGAAAUCCCUCGGCUUAACCUGGGAACUGCAUCUGAUACUGGAUGGCUUGAGUUCGGGAGAGGGAUGCGGAAUUCCAGGUGUAGCGGUGAAAUGCGUAGAUAUCUGGAGGAACACCGGUGGCGAAGGCGGCAUCCUGGACCGACACUGACGCUGAGGAGCGAAAGCCAGGGGAGCAAACGGG